rnacentral:rRNA from 1 species
UACGUAGGGUCCGAGCGUUGUUCGGAAUUACUGGGCGUAAAGCGCGUGUAGGCGGCCCUGCAAGUCGGAUGUGAAAUCCCACGGCUCAACCGUGGAAGUGCAUUCGAAACUGCAGGGCUAGAGUCCUGGAGAGGAAGGUGGAAUGCUUGGUGUAGAGGUGAAAUUCGUAGAUAUCAAGCGGAACACCGGUGGCGAAGGCGGGUCUCUGGGCCGAUACGUGACGCUGAGGAGCGAAAGCGUGGGGAGCGAACAGG